GACGAACGCUGGCGGCGUGCCUAAUACAUGCAAGUCGAGCGAAUGGAUUAAGAGCUUGCUCUUAUGAAGUUAGCGGCGGACGGGUGAGUAACACGUGGGUAACCUGCCCAUAAGACUGGGAUAACUCCGGGAAACCGGGGCUAAUACCGGAUAACAUUUUGAACCGCAUGGUUCGAAAUUGAAAGGCGGCUUCGGCUGUCACUUAUGGAUGGACCCGCGUCGGAUUAGCUAGUUGGUGAGGUAACGGCUCACCAAGGCAACGAUGCGUAGCCGACCUGGGAGGGUGAUCGGCCACACUGGGAAUGAGACACGGCCCAGACUCCUACGGGAGGCAGCAGUAGGGAAUCUGCCGCAAUGGACGAAAGUCUGACGGAGCAACGCCGCGUGAGUGAUGAAGGCUUUCGGGUCGUAAAACUCUGUUGUUAGGGAAGAACAAGUGCUAGUUGAAUAAGCUGGCACCUUGACGGUACCUAACCAGAAAGCCACGGCUAACUACGUGCCAGCAGCCGCGGUAA
rnacentral:rRNA from 1 species